AUUGAACGCUGGCGGCAGGCCUAACACAUGCAAGUCGAGCGGUAGAGAGAAGCUUGCUUCUCUUGAGAGCGGCGGACGGGUGAGUAAUGCCUAGGAAUCUGCCUGGUAGUGGGGGAUAACGUUCGGAAACGGACGCUAAUACCGCAUACGUCCUACGGGAGAAAGCAGGGGACCUUCGGGCCUUGCGCUAUCAGAUGAGCCUAGGUCGGAUUAGCUAGUUGGUGAGGUAAUGGCUCACCAAGGCGACGACCCGUAACUGGUCUGAGAGGAUGAUCAGUCACACUGGAACUGAGACACGGUCCAGACUCCUACGGGAGGCAGCAGUGGGGAAUAUUGGACAAUGGGCGAAAGCCUGAUCCAGCCAUGCCGCGUGUGUGAAGAAGGUCUUCGGAUUGUAAAGCACUUUAAGUUGGGAGGAAGGGUUGUAGAUUAAUACUCUGCAAUUUUGACGUUACCGACAGAAUAAGCACCGGCUAACUCUGUGCCAGCAGCCGCGGUAAUACAGAGGGUGCAAGCGUUAAUCGGAAUUACUGGGCGUAAAGCGAGCGUAGGUGGCUUGAUAAGUCAGAUGUGAAAUCCCCGGGCUUAACCUGGGAACUGCAUCUGAUACUGUUAGGCUAGAGUAGGUGAGAGGAAGGUAGAAUUCCAGGUGUAGCGGUGAAAUGCGUAGAGAUCUGGAGGAAUACCGAUGGCGAAGGCAGCCUUCUGGCAUCAUACUGACACUGAGGCUCGAAAGCGUGGGUAGCAAACAGG
rnacentral:rRNA from 1 species